UUAAACUGAAGAGUUUGAUCCUGGCUCAGAUUGAACGCUGGCGGCAUGCCUUACACAUGCAAGUCGAACGGCAGCACGGAGCUUGCUCUGGUGGCGAGUGGCGAACGGGUGAGUAAUAUAUCGGAACGUACCCUAGAGUGGGGGAUAACGUAGCGAAAGUUACGCUAAUACCGCAUACGAUCUAAGGAUGAAAGUGGGGGAUCGCAAGACCUCAUGCUCGUGGAGCGGCCGAUAUCUGAUUAGCUAGUUGGUAGGGUAAAAGCCUACCAAGG
rnacentral:rRNA from 1 species